UACGUAGGGGGCUAGCGUUGUCCGGAAUCAUUGGGCGUAAGAGCGUGUAGGCGGCCCGGUAAGUCCGCUGUAAAGUCAAAGGCUCAACCUUUGAAUGUCAGUGGAUACUGCCGGCUAGAGUCCGGAAGAGGCGAGUGGAACUCCUGGUGUAGCGGUGGAAUGCGCAGAUAUCAGGAAGAACACCGACGGCGAAGGCAGCUCGCUGGGACGGUACUGACGCUGAGACGCGAAAGCGUGGGGAGCGAACAGG
rnacentral:rRNA from 1 species